CCUACGGGUGGCAGCAGUGAGGAAUAUUGGUCAAUGGACGCGAGUCUGAACCAGCCAAGUCGUGUGAAGGAUGACUGCCCUCUGGGUUGUAGACUUCUUUUAUAUGGGAAUAAACUGUUCCACGUGUGGGAUUUUGUAUGUACCAUAUGAAUAAGGAUCGGCUAACUCCGUGCCAGCAGCCGCGGUAAUACGGAGGAUCCGAGCGUUAUCCGGAUUUAUUGGGUUUAAAGGGAGCGUAGGUGGACUGUUAAGUCAGUUGUGAAAGUGUGCGGCUCAACCGUAAAAUUGCAGUUGAAACUGGCAGUCUUGAGUACAGUAGAGGUGGGCGGAAUUCGUGGUGUAGCGGUGAAAUGCGUAGAUAUCACGAAGAACUCCGAUGGCGAAGGCAGUUCACUGGACUGCAACUGACACUGAGGCUCGAAAGUGUGGGGAGCAAACAGGAUUAGAUACCCGUGUAGUC
rnacentral:rRNA from 1 species